CUUCCUCAUCAUCAUCAUCAGA
rnacentral:miRNA from 1 species